rnacentral:lncRNA from 10 species
AUGGACAACCAGUGCUAUGAACAAUCUGUCUGGAACAGUGAGGAAGGGAGCCUGGGCCAAGAGCCCUUCCCAGGGUUCACUCACUUGCUUCCCUGUUCCACUUUUUCUUCUACAGACCCCCUCCAGUCUCACCACGAGGGGAAGGAAGCAGGGAGAUCAAUGAGGAGGCAGCUGAACAGAACUGCAGAUGCACACAAGCAAGAACUUCAGGAACUGCUCCAGCUGAGAUCAGGAGUGGAGAGAGAGAGACAGAGAGGAAGGGAAGGAGGAAGAUGGAGCAUAACUAUGCUAAUAAAAAGGGAGACCUGAAAAGGUAAGGGGCAGGUGAACAUGGGUGCUCAUUUGGAGUAGCCCCAGGUUAGGGUUUUAUUAGGGCCUUUCCUUUGCCUCCUAGCCUACACUUUGGAGAUAUUGUUUGGAAAGAAGAUGGCUUAUGUAGAAAUCUUGUUCAGAGAAGAGUUGGGGACAGCAAGUGCCAUGUCCCCAUGGUGGAUCUGAACCAGAGACUGAGGCUUAAGCUCCUCGGGGGAGAGACUUAGAAAGGAAAGAAAGAAAAAUAAAAUUGCUUCACAGAGGUAAAGCAAGAUUCUGAGAGAGAUGUGAGGAAGCCCCUGGGAACACAUUGGUAGAGCCCUUGCUGAACACCCAGACAUGCCUUGCGGCAAGGACUGGGUUGGAGUAAUGGCAGAGGACAGGACCAAAUGGUCUCCUGUUGCAGUAGUGAGUUUGCUUUUUAUGUCUCCUCUAGAUUCUUAAAUUUUCUUUUUAACAGUGUCAGCUCCUGGAGUCUCUCUGGGUGAGACAAUGAUGACAACGUCACUUUGUAAGGAGGACCCUUUGCUACUGCAGACCUGCUCCAGGGUAAUGGUGACAACAGAGGAUAGACAGAGACCUGGAAGGAUCUGAGGUUAGACUCAUAGCCUGGGGAGAGCAUGAACUCCCCUUCAAAGAAAAGAUGGAGGUGCGUGGGUGUGGGAGGUGUAUGUGUGUGUGUAUUGGGGAGGGGAGGGGGGUUGAGAGAAUGCGUUGAGUGAGAGAAAUGGAGGAAAUAAGUCAGGAGAGCUAGAACAGUCUGGAGAUUUUUGGGAAAAGAGUUGGAAAACAGGGAUGAGAGAAGCUUCACAUACUUCUGCCACUACCCACAUACGCCAUUAUGCAAAGAGAAAGAAGCCAUUGCUUCUUUAAAACACUUGAGUAGCAUCUGCCAGAAAAUUCCUACCAUAAAUAUAUAUCUGUUAUGGCUACGGAUGUGAAUGGUUUCCCCUGGGUUGUGCAGUGCACAACCUCCAUAGCCGUAUACUGCACCUCUGCUACUGGAUGUGGUAGGAAUUUGUGGAGACGGACUAGUAAACAGGGCUUUUAGAAUGGUUUUUCUGUGUGAUGUGAUAUACGUUCCCCUUUGCCAUCUCUUCAAGAACCUUUAGGGAAAAAAUUACACUGCUUUUUCAAAGCUUUUGGAGUUAGAUUUGUUUUUCUUUUUAAUGUGUCACUGUAUGAAACCAAGCCUUAGGGCUGAAGCGGUAUGGCUGAGAUAUAUUUAGAUGACACUCAUUUGCCCACACAGAAAAGAGUCUGCGUAGGGUGUGCCCUCGAAGACUGACGACCGCUUGGUCUCAGUGUUACAAUAAUCAGUCUCUAAAGCCCAGGGUUCCUCUUCUGUCGGGAGGCCACCAGGCAAGGGAGUGCUUCAGGGUCUGUCCUCCAGGAUCUCUUGUCCAUAGUUUCAAUGUCAGAAGCUAAAUCACAGAGAACAGAAAUCAUGAUGAGCUGAGCUUCUGAGGCAAAGUGGCGGAGCUGCUUCAAACCCAGGCUGUCAAUACAGGGGGGUAGAGAAUCUGAUUUACACAGGCAAAGUGAGUGUGGGAGGGUCUCAGAUCCAGAAAGCUGCAAACCAGGAGUAACCAGGCAGGUGGGCAGGGGGUGGCUUGCAUUCUGGAGCUGUCGGCUGGUGCCUGCAGCAGUCUUUGGAGCAGUCCCAGCAUGGGUGCGUGUGGGCUGUGCAGGGACAAACAGGCAGAGGAGAGUGGCAGGGCUGUGUGUGGCCCCCUCACUCCUGCUGAGACCUGCUUUCUGCCAGGGAACUCCUCGGGUGGUUGCAGGGGGCAGGCUGGCUAGAAACACUUCGGGAGCAGAUGUCUCAGGGAAAGGCAGCAUUUCUCAAAGUCGGUUGGAUGUCUGCCAGCCUGCCUCCUGGCCCAUGUCACAGCCCCCUAGGCUCUGUGACCUUUCACCCUUGGCCCCCAGUUCCCCUGCAUGAGGCCAGGGAGAGGAGGGAGCCAGGGAAGGGGUCAGAGCUAUGAAUCUUACCAGCUGGCUAGGAGGGAUUAUCACCGCAUAAUAAAUCCAGGGCCAGGCGUGUUUAUGAGGCUCUCGGAAGCUGCAGGAACAAUAUCAUUUAGAAAACAUUUAUGCUCACGAGGCGAAGGCAAUCCCACCCCCUUCCCUUAUUUAUGAGGCAUGUUGGGUAAUUAAGUGAGAGCUGGGAAGGGAGGUGGUUGGGAGAAGAUCACCCCUAAAUAAUCCUGCCUGGUGAAGCCACCAUCUGGGCUGUUGUGCAGCAAGGAUGGCCCCCAUAUGGUUGGAUAGUUUAUGAGCAGUGCACUGAUCCAGGGGCUAAGGAAGAAAUACUUAACAAAUAUAAGUAGACUCACACAGAUGUGGUCUGAGCUCCGGCAGAGCAGGGACCACAUCUUAUUCGUUGUUAUAACCCUGGAACCCAUCACGGUGUCUGGCAUAUGGUACUUGCUUGAUGUACAUUGUUGAAUAAAUUCAUUCAUCCAUUCAUUGGAGAACAAUUUGACGAGUGUCUAUAUGUGCCAGAUUCUUCACUUGAUACGCUCUGCUUUGUAACAAUGAACAAGACAGACACAGCUUCUGCUUUCGUGCAGCUUAUAAUUUACCAAUGGAAUCAAACAUCAAAGAAAUAAUAACUCAAACAAAUAUUUCACUGUGGUGGAUUCACCUUUCCCAACCCACAGCAAUUAAGGAUAAAGGGGGAAAAUGAAUGAAUUAAGGGUAAUUGAGCAUAAUGCCUUUCAAAGCCAACCUUAACAUAAGGUUGCUUAAUAACUAAGUCAAGGUCAAAACAAAGGCACUCUUUCAGCAUAAAAAGACUGAAAAGUUAUGUUGGCAGGAAGCCUAUCCCUCAUGGGUAGACCUGGCGAAAGCCUUUAGCUAGUUAACUUAGUCUCUGAUGUGUUCACGUGUUGGUUUGUUUUAUGAUAGUUCUCCAUGAGCAAGAAAAGGACAUCCAGAAAAGGGAGGUGGAGGUGGAAGCAAGCUGCCACCAGAGCCUUUAACUGGCUGGAUGUUCUCUCUGCAAUCCUCUACUUCAGGACUCAAAACUUCCUCCUCAUUCCCAUCCUGUCACUUGCAGCAGAAACUAUUGCCUUGGUACUGGCCAGAGACCUGAAGAUUCCUGAACUCAAGAUGGGGCAUUGCCUUUGAGACGCUGAAGCCAUGUAACUGCAUAGGCUAGUCUUUUGGUUUUCAGAAUGUGAGCCAUAUAACCAGGAUAAUGCAUUAGUCAUGGUCCACUGAGCUAAUACAAAAGUGCUCAAGUACAUUUCAAAAUAUAUUUUUCUAUAUCUAAAGAUAGUUUGAGUCUGUGGGCACCCAUUAAACCUAUAAAGCGUGCACCCACUGCCAGUGCGAUUGACCUAUUGGAAAGAUGUGUACUUGGGAGCAUAGGCAUGCAUCUUUGCAAGUGUGGAGGUGUGUUGGUUAUCAUGAGUGGGGCUCAGAGCCCGGGUCCUACCUGAGUGACUGGGAGACUGUGGUAGUGUGCCUCCAAGGUGGCAUCCAUCAAUGCUUCCUUCCCUGUGUGCACCUCCAGAGCUGAAGUUGACGCCUCCUCUCCCCUUAGACAUGGCUGGACUUACCAAAGUGCUUGAUAAGUCCAGAAUGCAGCUGUGUGACUUCGGGGAUUCAGAGGCUCGGUCACAGAAGUUGCAGCUUCCCCACGUGCCUCUUCAUCUGUUUGCUUUUGAACAUUUCCUCAUGGGCACCAGCCUUGAGGGCCAUACUGUAAGAAGCUGAAGCCACUGGAGAGGUCCCUGAAGAAGUGCAGAGACAGAGAGAAGCAGAGGACCCGGAGGCCCCGGAAGCAGGUGUGAGGAGCCAUCUUGUAAGUGGAUCCUGCCCCACAUGACACUGUGAGAAUCAGAGAUGAACGGCCCAGCCAAUUUCUUCCCGAAUUCCUAAACCAUACAAUUGUGAGCUAAAUAAAGUUGUUGUUUUAAGUCACUAUGUUUUAGGAUAAUUUCUUCUGCAGCAAGGGAUAACCGGAAAGAGACCCACAAAGCUCAAAGCCCAUUGUGCUGGGCUCCUGACCCAUCUGAACACUGAGCGGACUCUGAGCAGACUCGCUUGGCCUAAGGCUCCUCUAUUGAGAAGCAGCUGUUUUAGCAGAGCCCUUCCCAAUUGUGGAAGAACAGAGGCCAACUCCUCCCACUCACAACCCCCUGGCCCUGGCUACUGCUGCCCCUCUGAGCUCACCAUAAGGCCUCCAUUCCCUGAGCUCAGUUACCAGCUAGCUUGGAGCCCCCCGGCCUGGCCUGGCCUGGAACCUGGGUGCCUCCAGCCUUUGCUGCUAGAGUGGGCCCUGCGGGAGGGUAAGAGGUCCUGUGAGGACAGGAUGCCGGGCUCAGUGCCAGCUGCAAGGACAUGGCUGGGGAGGCAGAGAGAGUCAAGGGGAUGAUGGACUGACCAUCUCAGCAGGCAGGGGCCCGGGAAGGUAGGGGGAUCAAAAAGCACUCAGUAGGUACGGCUGCAGAGAAAAGUGUUUCAUGCCAUUAAGUAAUACCAAAUUGGGCUUUAUAAGUGAAGUAGAGUCUAUCUUUAAGACUUAAAAAAGACAUUUACCACCUAUCUCUGCUUAGUGCUUUACUUAUGCUAGUAGGCUUCCAUUUCAUGCACAAAUGAAUUAUGCAGAGAAUGCCAUAGCUUAGUUUCAGCAAGCAAACAGUGGCCGAGCUUGUGCCUUCCUAUUACUCUAGUGUCAGUGCACAAAAGGAUGUUGGAUGCAGUUCUGGCAGAUUAGCAAAUUAGCUCUGCUGCUAUUACCUCAAG